rnacentral:rRNA from 1 species
AACGAACGCUGGCGGCAGGCUUAACACAUGCAAGUCGAGCGCCACGCCAGGGGAGCGGCAGACGGGUGAGUAACGCGUGGGAAUCUACCCAUAUCUACGGAAUAACGCAUGGAAACGUGUGCUAAUACCGUAUACGUCCUUCGGGAGAAAGAUUUAUCGGAGAUGGAUGAGCCCGCGUUGGAUUAGCUAGUUGGUGGGGUAAAGGCCUACCAAGGCGACGAUACAUAGCUGGUCUGAGAGGAUGAUCAGCCACACUGGGACUGAGACACGGCCCAUACUCCUAUGGGAGUCAGUGGUGGGGAAUAUUGGACAAUGGGCGCAAGCCUGAUCCAGCCAUGCCGCGUGAGUGAUGAAGGCCCCAGGGUUGUAAAGCUCUUUCACCGGUGAAGAUAAUGACGGUAACCGGAGAAGAAGCCCCGGCUAACUUCGUGACAGCAGCCGCAGUAAAAC